rnacentral:lncRNA from 10 species
GUCGGCGGCGCUGCAGGCGAGCACAGGACGAUGACGAAGAGGACGGGGCUGCUGAGCGAUCCCCAGCACCCAAGGACCUGGAGCCCCAGGUCGCAGCCUCAGGACCCGGAGGAUGUGCCCAGCACCUCCAGGAGACGCGCGGACGAGGUCGUCGCCCCGCGGCUCGCCAAUCAGGCGUAGUGUGGAGACAGGGCGGGGAGUACGCUGGCGGCCGUGUAGACCCGCAGCACGACACGGUGGACUCAGCCCGGGAGGGAGUCUAGCUGCGGGCCAUGUCCAGCGUGGAUUCCAGAACCCGCCGCCUAGAGUCGCGGGGCGUCCUGAGGGAGAACUGGCCCCUAGUGGGAGUUGGGCGCGUCCCUGGAACCUCCCCUCCUCGAGGGCUGGGAGUUAGCGGGAAGAAGAAGAGGCCGCGGGCACCAUGAUUCAGACCCGGAAACUACGCCUCCAGGCAUGGCUAGGAGAAAUGGGCUUCGGAGACCAUGGCCACCCCUCUCCCUGCCUAGGAGCACGCCUGCCCCAGCACCCGGGCCUGAACGCAGCGAGAGCUCCAGAGCCUGCGAGUCCCAGAGUUCCAGUUCCACAUCACAGUCACGCAAAUGUAAGAGAAUGGAGAAUGCAGUCCUUUCUCAGCUGGGCACAAAGUAAUGCUGAGUGAAACAGAAGUUGUUAUUGUGGAAGAGCUUCCAGUCGAUUUUGAAAAAUUCAGAGCAUGGGCAAGACAUAGCAGAAAAAGAAAUUGUGAUUGAUUGGAGUAUUUAUUUUCCUGGCUUCCUCCAUGUGGAGUUGCUAAAGACCGGCUGCAUCUUUCAGCUGCAAUCACAGCUCCUGCCUGGCAGCCUUCUCGGUCUCCAGGUUGUAGGAACCUCUUUGUCUUAUCUUUCAGGCCUGUGGGUGGCAAUAAUGUUCUUUAUUAGUACUAGCCUUAAGAUUUCACCAAUUAUUCCAGCUGUUUACUGGAAACCACAAAAAGCACACUGACUGACAUCGCCACUACGUGUCUUUCUUUUAGGGGCAUAAUAAAGUAGGAAACACAUUUAUUGUCCUCCAGAGAGGGCCUCCAAGUCAACUCUGCAUGUCUGACUUGCCCCAACCAUUUUAUGGAGUGCACUGAAGUGUUUUAAGGUCCUGCUUCCCUUCCAGAACAGCACCUUCCUUAGAGUGACUUCUUAGUGCUCCUCAGGCUCAAAGCCAGACCAUGAAGAUGUCAUAUUUUCCCUAAAACUGAAAGCUCCUUGAAUCAAGGGAACAUGGAUAUUUGACUCAACUGCUCUAGUCUUGUAGCAGACAAGACGCUGCUUCCAGCUACAGAUCUUGAGAAGGCUGCCUCGCACCUAUUUAAAAUAACAUGAAAAUCAGUAGCUCACAUUGCAAAGCCGAAAGAAGGAAAUCCUCCAACUUCAGUCACUUCAGCUGUUCAACCAAAUCCUUAAUACAUAGGGCUCUUUUCAUCUCUCUGUUCAGCUGUCCACUAGAACAGCAGUCCCCAACCAUUUGGCACCAGGGACUGGUUUCAUGGAAGAUAAUUUUUCCAUAGACUGGGGCAGGUUGGGGGGAUGGGUUCAGGAUGAUUCAAGUAAAUUACAUUUAUUGCGCACUUUAUUUCUAUUAUUAUUAUAUUGUAAUAAAUAAUGAAAUAAGUAUACCACUCAC